AUCCAAUGAUGAGACCGUGGCAUUAUUUAUGAUCUGGUCAGACCUAGAAACUGUGGUCCUUAAUCAGCUGUUUGGUGAGUAAUCUUGGUAGUGUGACUGAGUUUUAUUACACUGCUGUAAGGGCUCACCUAUAGUCAAACUGCCAGCUUCUGCAACCUCUACCCCAUAAUAAGAAAUUUUGUGGGAUCUGUAGAAGAUGUCAAACAUUGUGUGACUUCUUGUUUGUCUUUGUGUGUUUUGUGUGAAUGUAUAUGUAUCAGCUGGCAAAAGGCUGCAGUCUCUGUAAUUUGUUUGGCAGAUAUGAACAAUCAUCUUUGGUAAUCUGAGGAUA